rnacentral:rRNA from 1 species
CUACGGGUCGCAGCAGUAAGGAAUAUUGCGCAAUGGAGGCAACUCUGACGCAGCCAUGCCGCGUGCAGGAAGAAGGCCUUAUGGGUCGUAAACUGCUUUUAUUUAGGAAUAAACCCCCGAACGUGUUCGGGGCUGAAGGUACUAAACGAAUAAGCACCGGCUAACUCCGUGCCGAGCAGCCGCGGUAAUACGGAGGGUGCAAGCGUUAUCCGGAUUUAUUGGGUUUAAAGGGUGCGCAGGCGGGCUAUUAAGUCAGUGGUGAAAUCCCGGGGCUCAACUCCGGAACUGCCAUUGAUACUGAUAGUCUUGAGUUUGGUUGAAGUGGGCGGAAUGUAGCAUGUAGCGGUGAAAUGCAUAGAUAUGCUACAGAACACCAAUCGCGAAGGCAGCUCACUAAGCCAAAACUGACGCUCAUGCACGAAAGCGUGGGGAUCAAACAGGAUUAGAUACCCGAGUAGUC